rnacentral:rRNA from 1 species
GUAAAUGGCUGCAUAAACCUGAGUGUACUAAGGUAGCGCUAUAAUUUGCCCUUUAAAUGGGGGCUGGUAUGAAUGGGUUCACGUGAGAGUUGCUGUGUCGCAAAAAGUUUUUGAAAUUAACUUUUAGGUGAAGAGGCCUAGUUGAACAUGUAGGACGACAAGACCCUAGAAGCUUUACUAUGGGCGGUUUAUAUGUUAAAUUGUCUUAGUUUUGUUGGGGCAACAAAGUUAGUAUAUAUAACUUGCUUGUGUUUACUUACUGGUUAAAUCCACAUUAGUGAAUAAGAUGAGCUACUCUAGGGAUAACAGCGUUAUUUUUUUUAAUAGUACGUAUUGUAAAAAAAGUUUGCGACCUCGAUGUUGGAUUAAGGUGUCCUUAAGACGCAGAAGUCUUAAAGGGUUGGCCUGUUCGUCCAUUAAAACCUUACA